GUAGGUCUCUAGACAUUACAGAGAACCCCGUACAACCCAAACUGUUAACCUUCAAUACUGCUUUGUACUUACGAUCUUGUAUCCACUGACUGUCUUGUUAGAUUAACCCAAUAAAUUUCAUUCACUCCGCAUACUCAAUCCUAUAGACACCCUUUUAAUCCUUCAAUCACAGACGUAACUCGAUUUCACAAAACAGUCAAGAGUAUUCAAACCCACUUCAUU
rnacentral:lncRNA from 1 species